ACCUACAUCCACCCGGACGCCGUCCCGUCCACGGGGCCGCGCGCCGUCCUCCGCCCGCCCGGCUCCGCCCCUCCCUCCGGCAAGCGCGGCGCCGCCGGGCCCCCGGCCUCCGACGGCUCCGCGCAGCUCUACCGCCUGCGCCUUUCCCACGCCACGCUCGCCUCCCGCCCGCACUUCGCCGGCUUCCACCUCUCCCUGCUCCUCCCGCUCGCGCUCCUGCCCCCCGCGCUCCUCCUCCCGCCGCCCCGCUCCCCGGCGGCCUCGCUCGCGCCGCUGCUCCCGCUGGCCUUCCUCUUCGUCGCGCUCCUCCGCCAGGUCGCGCUCGCCUCGCCGCCGCGCCCCGCGCACCUCGUCGCCUCCCUCGCCGCGCUGCUCGCCGCCACCGUGCUCUCCUCCAGCCCCUUCGCCGGCUCCGUCGCCUCGCUCGCCGCGCUCCCGGCCUGGCGCUUCGCGCGCGCCUUCUGGCUCGGCACCGACCAGCCCCGCACCGGGCUCGCCGUCCUCGCAUCCUCCGCCCCCGCGCGCCUCCUGCUCCACCUCGCCGUCCUCGUCUCCUCCGCCGCCUCCAUCCUGCAGUGCUGCGGCUUCGUCGACGGCCCCGAGCUGGAGGUCAAGCUGCUGGCGGCCGCGGCGGGGAUGCAGCUGCUCGCCUCCAGGGCCGCCGUGCAGAUGUACCUCAACGAGGCCGUCUUCUGCUGGUACCAACGGCUGCACGCCAACCGCGCGCCCGACACCGAGUACGGCCGCGCCAAGGUGUUCCUGCACAACCACCAUCUCUGCGCGGCGGCCACGCAGUUCGUCGCGCCGCCGCUGCUCGUGCUGUCGCUGCUCGCACUGUGGUGGGUGCAAGGCAAGGACUUCUUUGAGGGUGUGGAGGGGCUCGACUGGCUUGUUGGGUGGUCCGUCGCCAUGAAGGAGGCGGCAUUGCUUGCGGCCCGUUGGGUGGUGGCGGUGUGGUCGGCGGUGACUGUGGGCACGCUUGUCGGCUACAAACGUGGAUGGUUGUUUGUCUUGUGA
rnacentral:rRNA from 1 species